GCAGAACUCAUAUAAUUUGCCUUUGGUGGAGAAGAUAAUGAGAGCAACCUCGGCGUCGCAGAGGACAGAGAGUUCGUAGGCCUUUUUGAGCAAUCCAUUUCUUCUCUUGGCGAAGGGGCUCCCACUCGAUUGCUGGAUCUGACGGCGGCGACACCGUCUGCACCGCCUUCCUCGCCGUCACCCCCGGGAGGAGCGGGAUGUUUGAGGCUAUCAAAUACAUUCCGAAACAACUCCGCAGACGAAUCGCAUCGCGAUAUUCCACCAAUUCGACUGUCCACACCGAUUGCGGGCGCUGAUAUUCGCCUUGGAUCACGCUCUCCAUGUCCUCAUCCGCGGUUAGGUAUUUGUCGUGGUAGCUCACCAUCCUGAUUGAUUUUGCCUUCCGGAAUAUAUCCAUUUCUUCUUUUACUA